CAUUACUGAAUUGUUAACAUGAGUUGCUGCUGGUCCUCAAAUGGGGGCAUGUGCACACUCUGUUUACAUAUCCACUCACACCUGUGCACCCUCCGUAGUUCUGCAGCCUGGGGGCUCUGUCCCCUUGCCGCGGUUCUAUGUGUUUACACACACACACACACACACUGUAAUAAAGUCUCAUGGAAUGUAUGCCGCGUAUAACGCAAUGUAAUACAACUUUCAGCAACGGAUCUCUUGGCUCUCGCAUCGAUGAAGAACGCAGCGAAAUGCGAUAAGUAAUGUGAAUUGCAGAAUUCAGUGAAUCAUCGAAUCUUUGAACGCACCUUGCGCCCUUUGGCCAUUCCGAAGGGCAUGCCUGUUUGAGUAUCAUGAACACCUCAACUCUCAUGGCUUGCCAUGAUGAGCUUGGACGUUGGAGGUCUUGCUGGCCUAUAGUCGGCUCCUCUCAAAUGGAUCAGCUUGCCAGUGUUUGGUGGGAUCACAGGUGUGAUAACUAUCUACGCUUGUGGUUUCUGCUGGGCAACCUUCGGUGACGGAGGUUCACUGGGGCUUAUAAAUGUCUCUCCUUGGUGAGGGACAGCUCUUUGAACGUUUGAUCUCAAAUCAGGUAGGACUACCC
rnacentral:rRNA from 1 species